rnacentral:rRNA from 1 species
AGGGUUUGAUCAUGGGCUCAGAAUCAACGCUGGCGGCGUGCCUAACACAUGCAAGUCGAGCGAGAAAGGGAGCUUCGGUUCCUGAGUAGAGCGGCGGACGGGUGAGUAACACGUGGGUAAUCUACCCUCGGGUGGGGAAUAACUCAGGGAAACCUGGGCUAAUUCCGCAUGAUAUUUUCGAUACACACGUAUUGGAAAUCAAAGCUGGGGACCCUUCGGGGCCUGGCGCCUGGGGAGGAGCCCGCGGCCAAUUAGCUUGUUGGUGGGGUAAUGGCCCACCAAGGCUCCGAUUGGUAGCCGGCCUGAGAGGGCGGACGGUCACACUGGGACUGAGACACGGCCCAGACUCCUACGGGAGGCAGCAGUGGGGAAUUUUUGUCAAUGGGGGAAACCCUGAACAAGCAACGCCGCGUGGAGGACGAAGACCCUCGGGUUGUAAACUCCUGUCGGAGGGGACGAAGGUGUCGUUGGUUAAUACCCAGCAGCAUUGACGGUACCCUACGAGGAAGCCCCGGCUAACUCCGUGCCAGCACCGCGGUAAUACGGGGGGGGCAAGCGUUGUUCGGAAUUACUGGGCGUAAAGGGCGCGUANGCGGACCANACAUUCUCUCGUGGAAAUCCCACGGCUUCACCGUGGAACUGCGGGAGAU